UACGGGGGGAGCAAGCGUUGUUCGGAUUUACUGGCGUAAAGGGCGCGUAGGCGGUCAGCACAAGUCAGUUGUGAAAUCUCCGGGCUUAACUCGGAAAGGUCAACUGAUACUGUGCGACUAGAGUGCAGAAGGGGCAACUGGAAUUCUCGGUGUAGCGGUGAAAUGCGUAGAUAUCGAGAGGAACACCUGCGGCGAAGGCGGGUUGCUGGGCUGACACUGACGCUGAUGCGCGAAAGCCAGGGAGGCGAAGCGGG
rnacentral:rRNA from 1 species